rnacentral:lncRNA from 1 species
UAUGGAGGUUCCCAGGCUAGGGGUCCAAUCGGAGCUGUCGCCACCGGCCUACGCCAGAGCCACAGCAACGCGGGAUCCGAGCUGCGUCUGUGACCUACACCACAGCUCACGGCAGUGCUGGAUCCUUAACCCACUGAGCGAGGCCAGAGAUGGAACCUGCACCCUUACAGACACCACUGACCUGCUGAGCCACAGUAGGAACUCCUUUUCCCAUUUAAAGAGCAGCGGGGUGAGUAUGAUUUAUCCCAACCCCAUGGCUUCAAGUGCCAGAGGGGGCACUUGUACCCGGAGCAGUGUAACUCUGAAGUCUGAGCGGGUUUUCUGCCCUCCAGGGGACUUGAGCCCGUGACAGAGAAGGAAAUGCCAGCAGCAUGCUGGAAAGAAAUGGGCACUUGGAAUGGAGGUUUGACCUUGCUUAUGCCUGGGGUGUGAUAACUGAUUCACUCUGGAAGGCACUUCCUUCAUCAGGCCAAGCUGUGAAGCCAGGACCAGAGAGCCAAGCUGCUCAGUGGGGUCAGGGGGCCUCGGGAGCACCCUCCUCGGGGUGGGGGGAACCCAUCCAUCAUUACUGCAGCCGGGGAGGCCAGGGGUAACCUCUCACAGAGCGGGCCUGCCGCUCUGCCAAGGGCUGCCUGGCUCCCAGGGUGUGAGUGGCAUCACCCGAGUUUCCAGCACAUUCUUCCACGGCUGGGAGCCGCCUCGCUGGGCUGGGAUUCCCAGCUCUUCGCUGCUUAUCCGUUGGGCCUGCAUCUCCAUUGUCGUUGGCCACCCCUGGGGCCCAGGUGGGCACUCCAGGCCUGCACAGCCCUCCUCCACCGGGGAAGAGCUAAUGAAUGGGAUUUGGCCACAACCCACACCUGUGGCCCUGCUUUGGACACCCUCCACCUGUCCUAAGUCAUGCAGAGAAGGAGGGCGGCGACAACGGGUCCCACUUCUUGCAUAGCAGGGAGCCAUUUGCAAAGGACGGCCUCAGAUCUUUUCUCAACCGUCUCAGCAGCAUCCAUGGGAGGCAGAACGGUCUAGAAGAUGGCCAGCCAGCUGCCCACGCCUGUUCAGUCAGGCACCCGGUUCAAAUCCUGGUUUCACCCGUCACCAGAUCUCAUCAUUAACUUUACCCACGUGUCGGUGCCAACAAAAGCAUUUAAGCGCCGUCAUUCUCCUGCGAGGAGGAUCUUAAGGCUUAUGUAGCCAUACAGUAAUCUUUAUCACAUUAUCACACACUUGUGGGCACAGAAAGAAAAAUACAAGCAACAUAAAUUGUUUUCCUCUAAUGAUAGAGGCGUCGGCCUGAGUCUGUGAAUUAGGCCCGUGUGUUCCCAGAGCCCCGUCUCUCAGCCAUCAGGCUCCCUGAAGCCACUCACAAUGGGUGCCUUCCUUUCAUCUGCAGACCAGUCUCUGUGGACAGAGCCACUCUUAGCCCCAUUUCACAGAUGCAAAAUCUGAGGAUGAGGGGCGGUUAAAAUAAAAAAACCUGCCAACAAACAGGAAAAGUCUUGGCGACACAAAAGCCCUUGCUGGAAAUUUCCAUCGCGCUGCCUCUCUUCCUUGCUUCCCUGUGUGUUAAGUGAAAAGAAGACAGGCUUUGGGCAGAUUUGGAUUUGCAUAAUAUGCUUCUACUUUCUUACAAUCUGUGUAAUCUCCUAGAAUCUCAGGCCCUCAUGCACCCAUGGAGAUAAUAAUGCAAGAUACAAGGGCUUUAAAAGAAAGGACAGAAGGAAAUACUAGCAAGAUUCUCUUUCUCUUUCUCCUUCUUCCCUUCAAGGGGACCUAGGUGAAUUUUGAGGCAAAUUGAGUAUCCAUAGGCUUGGGUCUUAGAGGGGUCAAGGCCUUGGUAAACGCUAAAUCUGAACCCUCAGGCUGCCUCUCUAGGCUGCCCUCUUGGGGGUACGGUCUUGCUGGCUCUGCCUCUGGGGGGGGUGCAGUCUCACUGGCUGCCCCUCCUGUCCAGGCAGAAUGCUUCCCCUGGCUGAGCCCUUUCUGUGUGUUGGAGACUACGCCUAUGUUCCUUCGCUCCACCCCGAAAGCAGUGUGAACAAACAAGCUGAAUGGAGGCUCAGACACCCUGAUAACUCGUGCGGUCACCCCAGUUACCCAGCUGGGAGCUGGUGAAGCUGGGUUUGAGCCCAGGUCCGAGCAUGAUUCCAAGAUUUCACAGCAUCAAAGCUGCAUUCCCCAAGACUGUCAGUCGGCUGACAGCUCUCCCUGCCCCCAACACUGAAGAUAAAGCCAGCUUAUUAGAAAAAGCUCUAGCGGGAUAUACGAAUAUGUAUAUAUAAAAAUCAAACGUGGUAUCUGCAUUUGAGUCAUGAAUCUCUAUGACUUCUAAUAAUUUAGACAUUGCUCUGUUCCAUGCAACACUUUGAACUGUGAUAAAAAUUUCCUGUUCCUGUCUGCUGCACCGAGCAGCUAAGAUCCUGUUUUAUUUCAUCCUCAGGCAUAGCUUUUCAUUGCUGGAAAUCUCUUUUAAAUAUAAGCUACGUGAGGUCGGGGACUUUUGCACGUUCAUUAUUUUUUUCUAGCACAUGACACAAGGACCAGCACACAGAAGGUAAAUGAUAACUAUCUGUCAAAUGAGUUCACUCCGAAUAUGAAUUUGAAAGAUCAGCAUGUUAAUUUCAGGCUUUAUAAUAACAAUUCCUUUGUUAUUAAUUCGAUGCCAUAUAAACUACAUUCAGCUCAGGUUCACAGCUAUUCACUGAGUAUCUAUGAGUGCCAGGCGCUGUCAGGUACCAAGGGACAAUGAUGAUUGUCAUGAUAAUCAAGUUCACAUGCACCUUACCUAUGUUUGAAGAAUUAAGAGAAAAAAAAAAAAAAAAAAAAGAAGAAAAAAAAAAGAAAAGAAAAAAGGUAAACUUUUGAACGUGUGUAGCCUUUGACCGAAUAACUUCACUCAUGGGGCUGUGUUCGAAGAAGAUAAUCGGACACACACAUGCACAUGUGUGGCACAAACAGCAAAACUCAAUAGUUUAUAUCGAAUAAAAUGUGUGCCUUAAAAGAAAAGAAUUAAGAGGUACACAAAGAUUGGGUCCCCAGCGCAGAGAAGAAGUGAUUUACACAUACGAGGGGUGCAUUUGGGGGCUUAAAUCCAGUCUUAAGACUUUAAACCUGUAAUUUGUCCCCUUGGGACCCCCUCCUCCUCCCCCAGUCCCCCAGCUGCUGUCCAGGAAGCCAGAGGAGUGAGUCAUUAGCAAAGGGGACUCAUUUCCAAGGAUACUGUUUGCCGGUGAUGAGGUGUUAGCUGAGGACAUGAAGAUGGGGAGUGGGUGGUGGGUGGGUCUUAUCUCGGGGUGUUUGUUUGACCUUGGUGCUUUUUCCCUGGAAGG